AGAGGUAUCCUGUGAGGUAUAAUGUCGGCUCCUGCAGUGACAGAGGACCAGCUAUUCCCAUUGUGUAUGAUCACGGAAACAAAGACUCCACAAGAAACCUGUAUGGACCAAAUGCAAGAAAGGAAUUUGAACCAGGUUUCAUAACAUUUAGAGCAAUCAACAAUGAGCGUGCCGCCAUGGCACUGUGCUCUGGAGUCAAACCAACUGGAUGCCACAAUGAACAUUACUGUAUUGGAGGAGGUGGAUGUUUUCCUGAAGGAAAUCCAAGGCAGUGUGGAGACUUCCCAUCAUUUGACUGGGACGGACUGGGAGGGCAAGGCUGGAGUGCUUCAAAAGAGAUGAUUGAGGCUGCUGUGUUACUGUUUUACAGCUGAUAGUCAUGUUAAAUCAGUUCCUUUGUAGUUAAAAUAAUGUCAUUUACAUUUCAAAUCAAUCAGCAAAGGUUGUGAUUGUUGUCAUCAGUCACCAGAAAGUGGUGACACAGAACUACAUAUUCAGCAUUAAUCAGACAUUUUAUAUUCUAAAAACAUGAUUGUUGAGUGUGUUUCUGUCUCUUGAUUAUAGUUUUUCCAAUCU